rnacentral:rRNA from 1 species
GACGAACGCUGGCGGCGUGCCUAAUACAUGCAAGUCGAGCGCAGGAAAUCAUCCGAACCCUUCGGGGGGACGUUGGUGGAAUGAGCGGCGGACGGGUGAGUAACACGUAAAGAACCUGCCCUCAGGUCUGGGAUAACCACGAGAAAUCGGGGCUAAUACCGGAUGGGUCAUCGGACCGCAUGGUCCGAGGAUGAAAGGCGCUUCGGCGUCGCCUGGGGAUGGCUUUGCGGUGCAUUAGCUAGUUGGUGGGGUAAUGGCCCACCAAGGCGACGAUGCAUAGCCGAGCUGAGAGGGUGAUCGGCCACACUGGGACUGAGACACGGCCCAGACUCCUACGGGAGGCAGCAGUAGGGAAUCUUCCACAAUGGACGAAAGUCUGAUGGAGCAACGCCGCGUGAACGAUGAAGGCCUUCGGGUCGUAAAGUUCUGUUGUAAGGGAAGAACAAGUGCCGCAGGCAAUGGCGGCACCUUGACGGUACCUUGCGAGAAAGCCACGGCUAACUACGUGCCAGCAGCCGCAGUAA